AUUAAUUCAACUCUAUCAAACAUUAUAAUUUUUGGGCAAAAUAUGAAAAUUACUGAUUAGAGAAUCCCAGGAAUAAAAGUAUGUCGAUUUGUUCUCAUUUAUUCCGAAGUUUGUCAUUAAAAAUACAAACUUAGGGUAACGCAUUUUUCGACUUAAUAAAAAGAGGGUAAUUUUGCGAAAGUGAAAAAAGAUGAUUUGCCUUUCACUGUACGCCCUCAUUGCCUCUGCAACAUUCCUCGCCUGCGUCCCAGUCUGCUACCGCCAGUUUGAAAUGCAUAAAUUUAUCAAGUGCCUCAAGAAAUAGGGAUUCUCUAACAUGAUCAUUUGUAUGACGUGUCUCACAGCUUUCAUUGCGGCUGGUUGUAUUUCUUGCGGACCUAUAAUAUUAGAAUCUUACUUUAAACGAUCAAAAUGUAAAAAAAAUUCGUUCUCGUUAUUAAAAUGCAAAAGUAAAAGUUCAUGCUGCACUAGUCAAUGUAAUUCUAAAAAUUCUUGAGUUUACUAUGUAUGUCUAAUAGGUUUAAGUAUUUUGAAUAAAUGCGUUUAAAGUUUA
rnacentral:misc_RNA from 1 species